rnacentral:lncRNA from 1 species
GCAGACAGGGUUCAGGGGGGAAGCUGAACAAGCCCCUGGUGCAGGAAGACAGGCUCUCCCCAGCCCCGGGACAGGAUUUUCCACACACCGAUGGAAGCUUCAGGAGAUCCUGCUCCGUCGCCCCAGUGUUCAGACUACCUGUUCAGGACAAUGCCGUUGUACAGUAGUCUGCACAUUGGUUUUGCAAACUAGGGACCAAGAAGCCCUCAGGGACUCUGCCAGGGGAGAGGACUGCUCCAGGGAAGACCAGCGGAGGAUAUACAAAUAUUUUAGGGAUGGUGGAAUCUAGGGCAGAAGAGAGUAACCAGCAGCAAACAUCUUGCUCUGGAUAGUAUGGCUGUACCGUUCCUUUACUUGAGCAGAGUAAACUGGAUCAGAUUACUUAAGGGAGAGGGGAAAGCAAUACAGAAUUAUAGUAACUUUUAAUGGCUGCUAAUAUAUUCUUCGUAAGUGAAUCACUCUAUUAUGCUUUUCUGUUGUACUGAAUGAAACAACAAAGGAAAUAGUAUUUCAAGGUAUUCCAUUUUUGUAUACUUGACUUUGUAACUACUUGAAUAGCAGCCAAGCUCUUGUGCUCUGAAGUGUUGGACAGAAGCACACGUUUAUCUUCUUGAACUUAAAGAAGUCCAGAUAUAGUUGCACUUAUCAACUCGGUUAAAA